ensembl:lncRNA
UCUCACAGGUGCCAGUGUUGAUGAGGAGGCUUUGAAAGGCCUUAGCCGGGAUGACCUGAGGGAUCUUUUUCCUGGCCCAGAGAAUUUCCUCAAAAGAAAGAAACUUUGGAAUUUCAUCAGUGAAAAUUGUGAAAAUACCACGGACCAAGAUGCCAACAAUUGUGCCAUGCCACCAUGCCAGCCUCAAACCUCAACCCCCAUAUCUGCUGAGAAAAAAAUGAAAAUGCCAGACCCUCCAGAGUAUGUGGUGUACACAGAUUCAGAGUUAGACAUGUCCCAUGGGGAAAGAAGUCAGUUACCCGUCAAAAUUGGAAAUAAGAGCCAUGUCACAGAAGAUUAUAGACUAUUACCCAAUGUUACGGGAUGAUGAUCCAAACAUGCCUUAUCUGACUAUCUACACCAAAAUGUACAAGCGACUCCAAAAUAUGAGAUCCCCACGGAAGAGGCAAGGCUCUGUACCACAAAGAGGAG